GCCCUUCUGACCAUUGGAUUGGCCUAAGAAGAGAAUCAUCCCAUCGCAUUUGGAAAUGGACAGACAACAUGGAAUAUAAUAACAUUUUUCACACAUUUAUAAAACAAUUUGGGAGGAGACUGGAAAUCAUCUUGACUGAAGACCACCAAUGGCAGCAGUUCAUUUGGGCUUGCUAUCAGAGGAGGUGGAGAAUGUGCCUUCCUGAAUGACAAUGGAGUCAACAGUGGCAGAAUCUACAUGAACAGAAAAUGGAUUUGUAGCAAGCCAAACAAUUAUGUCUACAGUUGCCAGUUAUGUCCCCACUGGGAUACUACCUAGUAGAGCUGUGAGAAGAGGGCCACCAUCCUCCAGACUCCAGAAUGGUGGAAUCAUCAGCAGCUUCCACCAUGCCCCUGGAAAAACUGCAAGUAACAGACCUGCACAUGUAUCCCCUACAUCUAAAAUAAAAGUUGGAAAAAAUGGAACUUUAAUGUUAAGAUGCACUGAUACAAAACUUAAAUUUUGGUCUACUACAUUAAAACAAUAUGAGUCUCUUAAAAUAUUGAUUUGUUCUUAG
rnacentral:lncRNA from 1 species